rnacentral:rRNA from 1 species
AUGGACGGACGGAGACGCCCCAAACCCGAGAACGGCACCUCAACCUUCAAGGACGACGCCUCAACCUUCAAGGGCGCGUGCCGGCGACCGCGGAUCUUCGGUGACGGCUAUGGUGAGUGUGUACCUGCGGACGUUCUUCCUCGGAUUCAUCAUCUCCCCCCGCUUGUGAUUACUUCCUUGGUUUCUUUUCUUUUGUGUGCAGGAUGGCUGCCCCGGAUCUGGACGCACGACCUGCAGCUGCUGCAGCAGCUGGACGACCCAACGCACGAGCCCUCCCCCCUCCCUCAUGGCUCUGCUUCCUCCUACCCUGCCCCCCUCACGUGGACGUGCUGCCUUGGCAGGGAUCCUCCAUAUCAAGGGAAGAGCGGGGUAGUGUGGGCGAGGGAAGUCCUUGUGUACCAGGUGAAGCUCCUCCUUCCUCUCAUCCUCCCCCUUUUGAUUAUGCCUGCUGCACUUCCAUGUCUCUUCAGCCCUUUUAUUUCUUUUAAAAUUUUCCUAAAUGUCAUAAUUGUCACAAUUGUGCAGGCUUCUAAAAGAAACACAAAAGGAAACAAGAUGCAGUAA